UUCAGUGCAAUACAAUUCGUUUAUCAAAUAUCUCGGAUAUGUCAUUAAGCAUGGCUCGGUGUCUACUUAUGACAUUCCAUAUUAGUUCUCAUAAUUCAUGACUAACCUUAUGAAUUUAGGAAACUAACUUUUAUCAAAUUCAUUAUGCUUUGGCCAAAGACUUUAUACAAGUUAAUCAAGAAUUGAGAACAAGUGAGAUACAUCCCUUCAUAUCACUUGGGGUGAU
rnacentral:lncRNA from 1 species